AUUGAACGCUGGCGGCAGGCUUAACACAUGCAAGUCGAGCGGAGAUGAGGUGCUUGCACCUUAUCUUAGCGGCGGACGGGCGAGUAAUGCUUAGGAAUCUGCCUAUUAGGGGGGGACAACAUUCCGAAAGGAAUGCUAAUACCGCAUACGUCCUACGGGAGAAAGCAGGGGAGCUUCGGACCUUGCGCUAAUAGACGAGCCCAUGUCGGAUUAGCUAGUUGGUGGGGUAAAGGCCUACCAAGGGGACGAUCUGUAGCGGGUCUGAGAGGAUGAUCCGCCACACUGGGACUGAGACACGGCCCAGACUCCUACGGGAGGCAGCAGUGGGGAACAUUGGACAAUGGGGGGAACCCUGAUCCAGCCAUGCCGCGUGUGUGAAGAAGGCCUUAUGGUUGUAAAGCACUUUAAGCGAGGAGGAGGCUACUGAGACUAAUACUCUUGGAUAGUGGACGUUACUCGCAGAAUAAGCACCGGCUAACUCUGUGCCAGCCGCCGCGGUAAGAC
rnacentral:rRNA from 1 species